UACGUAGGUGGCAAGCGUUGUCCGGAAUUAUUGGGCGUAAAGCGCGCGCAGGUGGUCCUUUAAGUCUGAUGGGAAAGCCCACGGCUCAACCGUGGAGGGUCAUUGGAAACUGGGGGACUUGAGUGCAGAAGAGGAAAGUGGAAUUCCAAGUGUAGCGGUGAAAUGCGUAGAGAUUUGGAGGAACACCAGUGGCGAAGUAGACUUUCGGGUCUGUAACUGACACUGAGGCGCGAAAACGUGGGGAGCAAACAGU
rnacentral:rRNA from 1 species